rnacentral:snRNA from 1 species
GUGCUUGAUUCUGCAGCACAUAUACUGAAAUUGGAACAAUACAGAGAAAAUUAGCAUGGCCCGUGCACAAGGAUGACAUGCAAAUUCAUGAAGCGUUCCAUAUUUUU